rnacentral:rRNA from 1 species
GAUGAACGCUAGCUACAGGCUUAACACAUGCAAGUCGAGGGGCAGCAUGGUCUUAGCUUGCUAAGGCCGAUGGCGACCGGCGCACGGGUGAGUAACACGUAUCCAACCCGCCGUCUACUCUUGGACAGCCUUCUGAAAGGAAGAUUAAUACAAGAUGGCAUCAUGAGUCCACAUGUUCACAUGAUUAAAGGUAUUCCGGUAGACGAUGGGGAUGCGUUCCAUUAGAUAGUAGGCGGGGUAACGGCCCACCUAGUCUUCGAUGGAUAGGGGUUCUGAGAGGAAGGUCCCCCACAUUGGAACUGAGACACGGUCCAAACUCCUACGGGAGGCAGCAGUGAGGAAUAUUGGUCAAUGGGCGAGAGCCUGAACCAGCCAAGUAGCGUGAAGGAUGACUGCCCUAUGGGUUGUAAACUUCUUUUAUAAAGGAAUAAAGUCGGGUAUGGAUACCCGUUUGCAUGUACUUUAUGAAUAAGGAUCGGCUAACUCCGUGCCAGCAGCCGCGGUAAUACGGAGGAUCCGAGCGUUAUCCGGAUUUAUUGGGUUUAAAGGGAGCGUAGAUGGAUGUUUAAGUCAGUUGUGAAAGUUUGCGGCUCAACCGUAAAAUUGCAGUUGAUACUGGAUAUCUUGAGUGCAGUUGAGGCAGGCGGAAUUCGUGGUGUAGCGGUGAAAUGCUUAGAUAUCACGAAGAACUCCGAUUGCGAAGGCAGCCUGCUAAGCUGCAACUGACAUUGAGGCUCGAAAGUGUGGGUAUCAAACAGGAUUAGAUACCCUGGUAGUCCACACGGUAAACGAUGAAUACUCGCUGUUUGCGAUAUACAGCAAGCGGCCAAGCGAAAGCGUUAAGUAUUCCACCUGGGGAGUACGCCGGCAACGGUGAAACUCAAAGGAAUUGACGGGGGCCCGCACAAGCGGAGGAACAUGUGGUUUAAUUCGAUGAUACGCGAGGAACCUUACCCGGGCUUAAAUUGCAGAUGAAUUACGGUGAAAGCCGUAAGCCGCAAGGCAUCUGUGAAGGUGCUGCAUGGUUGUCGUCAGCUCGUGCCGUGAGGUGUCGGCUUAAGUGCCAUAACGAGCGCAACCCUUGUUGUCAGUUACUAACAGGUUCCGCUGAGGACUCUGACAAGACUGCCAUCGUAAGAUGUGAGGAAGGUGGGGAUGACGUCAAAUCAGCACGGCCCUUACGUCCGGGGCUACACACGUGUUACAAUGGGGGGUACAGAGGGCCGCUACCACGCGAGUGGAUGCCAAUCCCAAAAACCUCUCUCAGUUCGGACUGGAGUCUGCAACCCGACUCCACGAAGCUGGAUUCGCUAGUAAUCGCGCAUCAGCCACGGCGCGGUGAAUACGUUCCCGGGCCU